rnacentral:rRNA from 1 species
AUUGAACGCUGGCGGCAGGCCUAACACAUGCAAGUCGAGCGGAUGAAGGGAGCUUGCUCCUGGAUUCAGCGGCGGACGGGUGAGUAAUGCCUAGGAAUCUGCCUGGUAGUGGGGGAUAACGUCCGGAAACGGGCGCUAAUACCGCAUACGUCCUGAGGGAGCAAGUGGGGGAUCUUCGGACCUCACGCUAUCAGAUGAGCCUAGGUCGGAUUAGCUAGUUGGUGGGGUAAAGGCCUACCAAGGCGACGAUCCGUAACUGGUCUGAGAGGAUGAUCAGUCACACUAGAACUGAGACACGGUCCAGACGCCUACGGUAGGCAGCAGUGGGGAAUAUUGGACAAUGGGCGAAAGCCUGGUCCAGCCAUGCCGCGUGUGUGAAGAAGGUCUUCGGAGUGGAAAGCACGUUAAGUUGGGAGGAAGGGCAGUAAGUUAAUACCUUGCUGUUUUGACGUUACCAACAGAAUAAGCACCGGCUAACUUCGUG